ACAUAAUUGACGAUGGAAUGCAACUUGGUCAACAGCCUGUCAAGUUGUACUUGAUCUCAGAGUGAUAUGAGUUAAAGAUAAUACUUCCUGAUGCUUAGGUUUGAAUGUCGUUUCACUGUAAUAGGAAAUAUUAUUCUGUGUGAGUAACUUAAAAAAAUUCCUUCUUAAAAGCCAAGCCUGUGCAAAACUGAACCUCAUAAAUAUCUUGGACUUAUUUCAAUAGUAGAACAUAUACUGUCCCUUAAUAAACUUGAGAGAAUAAGCUGAGAUGGAUAUAUGUUAAGAAAAAUCUGAUUCAAUCACCGAUCUAUGUAGGAUAUUAGAAGACAGCAGACAUGUGUAAAGAUUGCUAGAGAAUGGAUUAAUGAGCAGAAUCUAAUUUGCAGAAAAGAUAAAACUAAGAAACAUUCUAUCUUUUCAAACCAGUAAUAUGAUGAGUUGUCUAGGACUUUUAAGAAUCUCAGGUUCUGUGCAACUAAGAAAAGACUAAUAUUCAUAGCAGUUUCUUCAAUUUCUUGAUCAAUAACUAAAUAAGAUUUCCCAGAUUUCUAGAGAAUUAAGUUAUACUGAAAUCCAAAGUGCCGAUGCUUGAUUGCAUAAAUUAAAAUGCACAAAAGGUAUUAAUAUUAGACUUAAUUCCUGAUGCCUAGGUAUGGGUUUGCAUAUUAGAAAAAUACCUUCCAGACAUCAACAGUUAAGGCUCCAGACUUGUACAUCUGAUGAAAAUAAAAAAGAGGAAUAUCUAACAUCAUCCACUGAGGCAAAAUACAUUGUUACUCUUAUGCAUUUGAUAUAUUGCAUUUGAGAUACUCCAUUCACUAAAUGCAUAAUGCAUAAUGAAUUAUUUCCAUUCACUAAAUGUAAUCAGUCUCCUCUUAGAUAGCACCUCCUCAUCUAUACAAACUAUCACUUAGCACUCAAUGCCCUAUGAUGUGUUUAGCAAAUAGUAAAGAGUGCUACAGACAGAAAUGUACUGGGAUAUAUAUAAUUCCCUUUCAUAACAAUGACCUUAAUUGUCCAGAGGCAUUACAAAAAAACCUGAAGACUGUAUAUUGGAACAUAGUCAAUGCACUCCAUGCUAAAUACUAUACUACUAUUGCAAUGCUAGCUCUAACUAAAUGUUUUUGGGACUAUGAUCUUGACAUCAGUUAGUGUGUGGAAAGAAUCAGCCCUCUCAACAACAUUAGAAAAGAUGGCUUGAUAAAGGAAUCAUUAGAAAAAAUGCAAGAAAGAGUCUAUCCAACAAUGUAAUUAAUGAAAAUCAGAAUUCCAAUGUACCAAAAGCCUGAUUGUAUGUUUUAUGCAAAUCGUGGGAUCUAUACAGAUCCUCUUUGAUAAAAAAGUUUUUUGAGAUUGC
rnacentral:lncRNA from 1 species